rnacentral:rRNA from 1 species
UACGUAGGGGGCAAGCGUUGUCCGGAAUCAUUGGGCGUAAAGCGCGUGUAGGCGGCUCGGUAAGUCUGCUGUGAAAGUCCAGGGCCCAACCCUGGGAUGCCGGUGGAUACUGUCGAGCUCGAGUCCGGAAGAGGCGAGUGGAAUUCCUGGUGUAGCGGUGAAAUGCGCAGAUAUCAGGAGGAACACCGAUUGCGAAGGCAGCUCGCUGGGACGUCACUGACGCUGAGACGCGAAAGCGUGGGGAGCAAACAGG